GACGAACGCUGGCGGCGUGCCUAAUACAUGCAAGUCGAACGCAGGGGGGACGGGUGAGUAACACGUGGGUAACCUCCCAUCAGAGGGGAUAAAACUUGGAAACAGGUGCUAAACCGAUACUGAUGGAUGGACCCGCGGUGCAUUAGCUAGUUGGUGAGGUAACGGCUCACCAAGGCCACGAUGCAUAGCCGACCGGAGAGGGUGAUCGGCCGCACUGGGACUGAGCCACGGCGCAGUCUCCUACGGGAGGCAGCAGUAGGGAAUCGUCGGCAAUGGACGAAAGUCUGACCGAGCAACGCCGCGUGAGUGAAGAGGGUUUUCGGAGCGUAAACCUCUGUUGUUAGAGAAGCGGUAUCUAACCAGAAAGCUACGGCUAACUACGUGGCAGCAGCCGCGGUAAUUC
rnacentral:rRNA from 1 species